UUAUUCAACUGGUCUCAGGUCAGUGUACAGGUAAGCCCUGGCUGCCUCCACCCACUUCCAGGGAGACCAAAAGCCUUCAUACAUCUCAAGGGACAAAGGAAGGGGUAGACAGA